rnacentral:rRNA from 1 species
AACGUAGGUGGCAAGCGUUGUCCGGAAUUACUGGGUGUAAAGGGAGCGCAGGCGGAAUGGCAAGUUGAAUGUGAAAUCCAGGGGCUCAACCCCUGAACUGCGUUCAAAACUGCUGUUCUUGAGUGAUGUAGAGGUAGGCGGAAUUCCCGGUGUAGCGGUGGAAUGCGUAGAUAUCGGGAGGAACACCAGUGGCGAAGGCGGCCUACUGGGCAUUUACUGACGCUGAGGCUCGAAAGUAUGGGGAGCAAAC